rnacentral:rRNA from 1 species
GUAGGGGACCGAACGGACGCCGACCUCUCUCCUCGGGUAGGUUGGGAUCGAGGGCUAGGUGUAGACUGCGUGAGGAGGGAGGAAGAGGGAGAGUGCUGGCAGCGUGGGUAAGGAGAGAAGGCGGAGGGAGAAGGAAGUGUCUAGGGAUGGUGGCGGUGUGGGUGAGCAGAGGAGGAGAGAGAAGAUCGAAGGAGGGGGAAGGACUAGAGACGCAGCCGGCAGCGCGCUCUCCUCGUCGCCACCGCCUCUGCGAGUCCACCGCCGCAGCUCGACGCUUCGCCGCCGCGAGCCCGCGCUCUGCUGUCUUCGCCCUCGCCGAUGAGGUCCGGGGCUAGACCCCCAAGCCAAGGUCCCGCGACUGUCGAAGAGGGAGAUGCUGCGGCCCCCGCUCGACCCCAAGCAGCAGUGGUGCCGGCUGGUGGAGGGCAGCGAUCCCACGUACUGCCGCCAGCCCAGCCCGGCCCUGUCUUGGCGUCCUCCGGUACUUCCCGUGCUGCCGACGACCGUCUUCGUCGUCCCAAACUUCCUCACCGUCUACACCCGCCCCAGCCGCCAACCCCGUCCGAGCGGCAGACCCGUUGUCGCUCGCGGCCACUCGCGUUGCUUUCCUUCGGUUAGCAGCCGCAUGCAGUUACUAAGCCCGCGGACGCCGUACAUAGAACCACUUACAUGUCUCGAUUACAAGUUAAGUAAAAGAGUCAAAAAUCUCCCACAAAGCCUGAGUUCUAACUAGACCAUUACGUGCACCACACCACACUGGUCCUUAUAGACUAGACGCGGUACUGUUAUACCGGAACGACGUCGGUACGCCAAGAAGCCUCAUACCACGAAGCUAAACCAAGGACACCACUCGCAUAGACCUCUCCAGCGUUCGUCGUCCCCAGUCGCCUCGCCGACGACGCCAGCUGUCUCGUCGUCCUCGUUCCUCGAGCUCUGCCAAGUCCUUCUCACGGAUGUUGCUAGUGACUUGACCUAUCUCCACGGAAUACUUCAAUACUAUCAUAUCGAUUUCUUGUAGUCCGUACUCAUCUACCGUGACGGUGGAUACACAAACUAAAAAACAACAACACUAUAAAGUCCGGGGGUUUAAUAACACUACAUUUUACUUGUGUGCCAUAAGGACAAUUUUACAUCUCUGUCUGGAACAAGAGACUAAUAUUCCGACAGGUCACGACCAACUGUAACAUAUACACACUAUGGAUUGUUUAACUGACACAAGGGUACAAACGAAAUAAUCUUGUAUUAUUAGACUACAAGUAUCCCAUAGUCCUCUACGACCUGGAAACAUUGAGUUAAGUAGUCAAAUCAACGUCAGGUACGAUCGGUGGACAUCACAUCCGGAUGUAAGACCACUCUACAUAUAAACGGAAGAGAGUAAUCCGCCACCGAAGACCACUAGACAAGGAAAAGGAACAAAAAUCAAAAAGGGAAGACCACUAGUGGGUAGGGUUUAACGAUGGAGGAGUCGGUAACCAAAUAGAGGGUCUAACCAAGAAACCUACCACUCCAAGAAGAUGUUUAAACAGGGUUACGUUAAUCGUCCGAUCGUUUAAGCUUUUUACUUUAAAACUCACUCACACACCUACGUAUGUCUAUCAUCUACUCGUUAAUUUGUAGGAGAUAAAAAACAUUCAUAUACACCUACGCGUAUUUCACAAGAGACAAAAAAAUCGCUCAUAUAUAUAUACGUAUAUUCUACAUAUAACACCAAAGGUAAGACCAAAUGUACCCAUCAUGCACCUCGAAUAAAUUAGAAGUUGAUAAUACCGAAAUAGACAUGAAGAACUGUAUAGUCCUCGACCACAAUACAAGAUGGACUAGCUAAAAAUCGUCUGAACCACUCGAACGAGGGAGAAACAAGAGAAGCAGUUCCAAACAGAGAAGGGAAAUGAGUGACUAAUGACAUAGAAACCACAAAGAGGACAGAGGAUAGUAUCGCGAAGCGAAUAACAAGAGAAACAAGUCGUCAAGAGACCGGAGGUCGGUCCGAAACCGGAGUCGUCGAAAAGUUUUUUGGGGCUUUCUUUGAUGAGAAAAAAUGUCUAUAUACUAUACGUCGUCAAGUCCCGGAAUAAAUAUUUAGACUUUAAUGAGGGUUCUCUUUUAAUGACUCCUAAUCUAGUAGAAAGACAUAUAGGUAUAUCGUAGAAAGGACGAACUAAUGGUUCAUUUCUAAACCUUCAAAUGUUACUAGGUUGGAACUGUUGUGAUGUGCCUGUACUGAGCCUUCGUAGUUAACUGACCUUCUUUGUAACAGACGUUCACGGCAGUAAGUGUAUCUAAUGUCCUUGUACCGACUACAAAACACAUGUUUUAAAUUAAACUUGACAUGACAAUACUCAGGUCGACCAAUGGGUACCCCAACUAUGUCAGAAAAGAACAACAAAUGAUCGUGAUCGAAAAAGUGUCCAGUCAAUAACCUUCCCUUUUAACGUCCGGUUCUAGGUAUUUAUCCUCUUUCUUUAGUGUGGGUUCGACUAUUCUUUCGAAUACUUCUGUUACCCUCUUUAGUGAAGUGAGAUAAGACGAGGUUUCGUUUUUGUUUAAACCCCCUAGGUACAACGUCACACAACAUUAAAUGACGGUAAAGUCUCUGUCCGGUCACGACAAUGGUCGGGUCGCAAACGAAAAUAUAAUAACUUAGCACUGAGUCAGUAUAUACAAAUAUAAGUACAACACUUUCGGUAGAACUUUUAUCCGUUCUAAGAUAACGGUUGUUCAACGAAGGAAUAUAUAAUGGCCUUAUACUUAUGUAGUACAUAUAAAUAUAAGUACAACAGUUCGACACCAAAUUGUUUUCCCUCUUUAAGGGUGUUUCAAUAAAGAAACGUGAUGAUU